rnacentral:sRNA from 1 species
UUGACAGCUUUGGUGACUGAAAUUCUCUGUUUAUUAACAGCAUAAGUAUGCCAAGGACAAUAGCAAUUCAACUUUCCCCACUCUGCCCUGGAAAUUAGUCUCAGAUCUGAUCUGGAGGAGCCAUCUCUUGGUGUCAGGGAAAAUUCAGUUUCCACAUCCAUUUAAUCCUAUUCCUCU